GACGAACCGUGCGAACGUUGUUCGGAAUCACUGGGCUUAAAGGGCGCGUAGGCGGGCCGCCGAGUCCGGGGUGAAAGCCCCCAGCUUAACUGGGGAAGUGCCUCGGAUACUGGCGGUCUGGAGGGGGGUAGGGGCCGUGGGAACUUCCGGUGGAGCGGUGAAAUGCGUUGAUAUCGGAAGGAACGCCGGUGGCGAAAGCGCACGGCUGGACCCUUACUGACGCUGAGGCGCGAAAGCCAGGGGAGCAAACGGG
rnacentral:rRNA from 1 species